GUACUACUGAAGAGUCCCAAACUAGGACGAAAUAGUCGGCUGUCCAGUAC
rfam:Trichobilharzia regenti genome assembly, scaffold: TRE_scaffold0034097